rnacentral:rRNA from 1 species
UACGUAGGGGGCAAGCGUUGUCCGGAAUCAUUGGGCGUAAAGAGCGCGUAGGCGGCCCUGUAAGUCCGCUGUGAAAGUCAAGGGCUCAACCCUUGGAUGCCGGUGGAUACUGCAGGGCUAGAGUCCGGAAGAGGCGAGUGGAAUUCCUGGUGUAGCGGUGAAAUGCGUAGAUAUCGAGAGGAACACCUGCGGCGAAGGCGGGUUGCUGGGCUGACACUGACGUGAAGCGCGAAAGCUAGGGGAGCGAACGGG